rnacentral:rRNA from 1 species
AGGCGACGAUCAGUAGCCGGCUUGAGAGAGUGAACGGCCACAUUGGGACUGAGACAUGGCCCAAACUCCUACGGGAGGCAGCAGUGGGGAAUAUUGCACAAUGGGGGGAACCCUGAUGCAGCGACGCCGCGUGAGUGAAGAAGUAUUUCGGUAUGUAAAGCUCUAUCAGCAGGGAAGAAAAUGACGGUACCUGACUAAGAAGCCCCGGCUAACUACGUGCCAGCAGCCGCGGUAAUACGUAGGGGGCAAGCGUUAUCCGGAAUUACUGGGUGUAAAGGGUGCGUAGGUGGUAUGGCAAGUCAGAAGUGAAGACCCAGGGCUUAACUCUGGGACUGCUUUUGAAACUGUCAGACUGGAGUGCAGGAGAGGUAAGCGGAAUUCCUAGUGUAGCGGUGAAAUGCGUAGAUAUUAGGAGGAACAUCAGUGGCGAAGGCGGCUUACUGGACUGAAACUGACACUGAGGCACGAAAGCGUGGGUAGCAAACAGGAUUAGAUACCCUGGUAGUCCACACCGUAAACGAUGAUUACUAGGUGUUGGAGGAUUGACCCCUUCAGUGCCGCAGUUAACACAAUAAGUAAUCCACCUGGGGAGUACGACCGCAAGGUUGAAACUCAAAGGAAUUGACGGGGGCCCGCACAAGCAGUGGAGUAUGUGGUUUAAUUCGACGCAACGCGAAGAACCUUACCAAGUCUUGACAUCCUGCGACGAUGCUAGAAAUAGUAUUUUCCUUCGGGACGCAGAGACAGGUGGUGCAUGGUUGUCGUCAGCUCGUGUCGUGAGAUGUUGGGUUAAGUCCCGCAACGAGCGCAACCCUUAUGGUCAGUUACUACGCAAGAGGACUCUGGCCAGACUGCCGUUGACAAAACGGAGGAAGGUGGGGAUGACGUCAAAUCAUCAUGCUCUUUAUGACUUGGGCUACACACGUACUACAAUGGCGUUAAACAAAGAGAAGCAAGACCGCGAGGUGGAGCAAAACUCAGAAACAACGUCCCAGUUCGGACUGCAGGCUGCAACUCGCCUGCACGAAGUCGGAAUUGCUAGUAAUCGUGGAUCAGCAUGCCACGGUGAAUACGUUCCCGGGCCUUGUACACACCGCCCGUCACACCAUGAGAGCCGGGGGGACCCGAAGUCGGUAGUCUAACCGCAAGGAGGACGCCGCCGAAGGUAAAACUGGUGAUUGGGGUGAAGUCGUAACAAGGUA